rnacentral:rRNA from 1 species
GUCCACGCCGUAAACGAUGUCGACUAGCCGUUGGAGACCUUAGAGUCUUUAGUGGCGCAGCUAACGCGAUAAGUCGACCGCCUGGGGAGUACGGCCGCAAGGUUAAAACUCAAAUGAAUUGACGGGGGCCCGCACAAGCGGUGGAGCAUGUGGUUUAAUUCGAUGCAACGCGAAGAACCUUACCAGGUCUUGACAUCCAGAGAACUUUCCAGAGAUGGAUUGGUGCCGCAAGGAGCUCUGAGACAGGUGCUGCAUGGCUGUCGU